rnacentral:tRNA from 1 species
AGAGGAUUAAGUUAAUUAGACUAUAAGCCUUCAAAGCUUAAAGUGGGAGUUUUUUCAUUCUCUG